rnacentral:lncRNA from 1 species
ACUCCUUCCGCUAUUAGAGAAAGCCCGAGCUUGUAUCUAUCUGCCUGGGGUGUCGACGCGCGGACAAAGGUCUUCUCCAACUGGGCACAUGAAAUCUUCUCCAGUGAUUUGAAAUACUUUUCCUUCAGCCUCCUCUUCUCCAAUGCCUUUGUGUACCGAUCGCCCUCCGAAAACGACCCAGCAUGCAGUCCAGUGACGAUAGCAUACUCCUGCAGUCCAAACCGGGUAAGGUG